rnacentral:rRNA from 1 species
UACAGAGGUCCCAAGCGUUGUUCGGAUUCACUGGGCGCAAAGGGUGCGUAGGCGGUCGGGUAAGUCUGACGUGAAAUCUUCAAGCUCAACCUGGAAACUGCGUCCGAUACUAUUCGGCUAGAGGAAUGGAGGGGAGACUGGAAUACUUGGUGUAGCAGUGAAAUGCGUAGAUAUCAAGUGGAACACCAGUGGCGAAGGCGAGUCUCUGGACAUUUCCUGACGCUGAGGCACGAAAGCCAGGGGAGCAAACGGG